rnacentral:ncRNA from 1 species
ACAGUACAAACUGAGCAGACCGUAGCAUCCUUGUUAUGGAGUCGGGUCACGAUGUGACAGUGGAAUGAUUCUUACAUCCACGGGACAGU